ACGUAAUCCCAUUAAGAGUUUUGUGACAAAAAUAAGGAUCCAAGCUCGGGAGCUGUCGACCAAUCAGAUCUUGGUAUUUUUACCAGCACAGUUCUUAAUGGAGGGCAUUUAACACACGAAAUCCCAUUAAGAAUUUUGUGACAAAAUGAGGAUCCAUGGCCAUCCAAUCAGAAGCAGACAAACCUGCUGAGCAGUAUUCAUGAAAUUGACCCCUGGAUGUGUACGUGACAUACUACGUCACAGAGCAGACCAAUCAGAACACGGAAAGUAAAAGCCCAUGAAAUGCAAGCUAUUAUCCAUCUAUUGAAAUCAUUCAUAAAUACAGCAUGCAUUUCUUCGGGCCCAGCUUUUGUUUGUUGUUAUCAUGUGGAGUUUUCUACCCCUCGACUAUGAGCCUUUGUUUUGAUGAUUUACCCAGUUGUAAAAGUAUUGCGUAAGCUCAUUUUCUUUUCUGUUAGCACGUGAUUCAGUGGAAAUUUCCGUUCAGAUUUCUUUCACUUUUGUUAAAACUCUGGCAGCGUGGUUGGCCAGUUGACUCAACGCUAAGCUACGGUAAGGGUGGUUGUGGCAGGACGCGGAUGGUAACUUUUUAAAGUAAGUGACUGAGAUUGAGAACCUGGGAUGGAGUCCUUCUCAUCUACAUGCUCUCUCAUGACAGACCCUGCAACCACUGUAAUCCCGUGGUAUUACGGCACAGAUGGAUUACGUCCACCUUAAAGGUAUAUUAUUAUCACCAUUUAUUCACUCUAACAUCAAACCUGCACCAAACUGCAUGAUUAACAAGCUCACUCCAUCUACACCAUCACUUUAACAUCUACUAAGCUCAUUUCCAUGCUUGCAUGUUACAUCUUAACAAUCAGGGGUUCGUUCAACGACAGCGAGAACCUACCCCAUCUAUAACUCCACACCAUCCGUUAUCAGUCACUUGUCAUGUAACAACCACUCACACCAUUUAUAUGCACCUGAAAUAUUCCCAAACUAAAUGGAAUAAUUCUGUUUGGAGGUGCAUUUUCUGAAUGUAUGUAUUUUCUGUUCUUUAUUUACUGCAAUGGUGAAAUGCGGAACCAACUGCCAUUGGAAUACGCAAUAUGGAGUCCAAUGGAAACUGCACCAGUCAUUCCAGGGCCAUGAAGACUUCAUUGGAGCUGUGGUGAGCGGAGGUUGCUGUGAGGAAAACAACACUUACACAUUUUAAAGUUCAGGAAUAGAACCUGAAGGCCAUGAUGACGUCAUUGGAGCUGUGGUGAGCGGAGGUAUGCUGUGAAGAAACGACACUCAUUUUAAGUUCAGG